rnacentral:misc_RNA from 1 species
CGGAUUUUACGCGUAAAAGUUAUCUUCAUUGCAAGACAAAAAUAUAGAUGGAUUUGUGAAAAUGCAUGAUGUUGUUCGAGAUAUUGCUCUAAUAGGCAAGAAUUUCCUCAAUGGUACUUGAAAUGUCUAAGUAAGGAUUGCACUAGAAUUUCUUUGCCUUAUUGUGAUAUCGAAGAACUCCAUCAAUGUAUGGAAUGGCUAAAGCAAGAUUUGUACCGGAAUUUCUUUACCUUAUUAUAAUAUUUAAGAACUCCUUCAAUGUAUGGAAUGGUUAGGCGA